AAACCAUGCUUCAGGCAUUUGCAUAGCAAAUCUUUAAAUCACUCCCAAGCUUCAUACAAAUUUUCAUCUUCCAAUUACUUUAAAGAUGUGAUGUCAUUCCUCAAUCU